CAAUCGAACCCGGAGAUAGCUGGUUCUCCUCGAAAUAGCUUUAGGGCUAGCCUCGAUAGAGAUUUGCGGAGGUAGAGCACUGAAUUUCCUAGGGGGCGUCAAAGCCUACCGAAGAAUAUCAAACUCCGAAUGCCGUGUAAUUGCUUAUCGGGAGUCAGACUGCACGAGAUAAGUUGGGCAGUCAAAAGGGAAAGAGCCCAGACCUCCAGCUAAGGUCCCAAAGUGCGCGUUAAGUGGAAAAGGAUGUGGGAUUUCGAAGACAACCAGGAUGUUGGCUCAGAAGCAGCCAUACAUUCAAAGAGUGCGUAAUAGCUCACUGGUCGAGUGGUUCUGCGCCGAAAAUUUAACGGGGCUAAACGAUACACCGAAGCUUGGGAUGCAGCAUUGGCUGCAUGGUAGGAGAGCGUUCUGUACGGGGUGAAGUCAUAGCGGAAGCGGUGGUGGACUGUACAGAAGAGAGAAUGCCGGAAUGAGUAGCGAGAUUUAUGUGAGAAUCAUAAAGGCCGAAAGACUAAGGAUUUAGAAGGAAGGUUCGUCCGCUUCUAGUUAGCCGGGAGCUAAGGCGAGGCCGAAAGGCGUAGUCGAUGCACAUACGGUGGAGAUUCCGUAGCCGCCUCUUAAUUUAAGCAAAGGGACACUUUCAAAGGGAAUGACCCGGGCGUUGGUAGCCCCGGGCGAAAGGGACCGAAAUUAGAGUAGGGAAGCAUUUCUGGAGGAAGGCGAGAAAAGCUUUGCGGAUAGAGAGAGGCGCCCGUACCGCAAACCGACACAGGUAGUCAGGAAGAGGAUUCUAAGGCCAACGGGAGAAGGGUAGUUAAGGAACUCGGCAAAUUGACCCCGUAACUUCGGAAUAAGGGGUGCUCCUGAAAAGGAGCCGCAGUGAAUAGGCCCAGGCGACUGUUUAUCAAAAACACAGCUCUCUGCUAAAUCGAAAGAUGAAGUAUAGGGGGUGACACCUGCCCGGUGCUGGAAGGUUAAGAGGAAGGGUGCAAGCUCUGAAUUGAAGCCCCAGUAAACGGCGGCCGUAACUAUAACGGUCCUAAGGUAGCGAAAUUCCUUGUCGGGUAAGUUCCGACCCGCACGAAUGGUGUAACGAUCUGGGCACUGUCUCAACUACCCACCCGGCGAAAUUGUAGUACCGGUGAAGAUGCCGGUUACCUGCGGCAAGACGGAAAGACCCCAUGGAGCUUUACUGUAGCCUGAUAUUGGGUUUCGGAAAUCUAUGUACAGGAUAGGCGGGAGACUGGGAAACAUGAGCGUCAGCUUGUGUGGAGUCGAUGUUGGGAUACCGCCCUUAGGUUUCUGGAAUUCUAACCUGCGGCCGUGAAUCCGGUCGGGGGACAUUGUCAGGUGGGCAGUUUGACUGGGGCGGUCGCCUCCGAAAAGGUAACGGAGGCGCUCAAAGGUUAGCUCAGCACGGACGGAAACCGUGCCUCUGAGUGUAAACGCAAAAGCUAGCCUAACUGCGAGGGUGACGGCCCGAGCAGUAACGAAAGUUGGAGUUAGUGAUCCGGCGGUAUGUGAAUGGAAAUGCCGUCGCUCAACGGAUAAAAGCUACCCUGGGGAUAACAGGCUGAUCUCCCCCAAGAGUCCACAUCGACGGGGAGGUUUGGCACCUCGAUGUCGGCUCAUCACAUCCUGGGGCUGUAUUCGGUCCCAAGGGUUCGGCUGUUCGCCGAUUAAAGUGGUACGCGAGCUGGGUUCAGAACGUCGUGAGACAGUUCGGUCCCUAUCUGUCGUGGGCGCAGGAUAUUUGAGGAGCUCUGUCCUUAGUACGAGAGGACCGGGAUGGACGUACCUCUGGUGCACCAGUUGUCAUGCCAAUGGCACGGCUGGGCAGCUAUGUACGGAACGGAUAAACGCUGAAAGCAUCUAAGCGUGAAGCCGACUCCAAGAUUAGAUAUCCCAUCGUAUAACGAGUAAGACCCCUUGAAGACUACGAGGUUGAUAGGCUGCGUGUGUAAGUGCCGUGAGGCAUUCAGCUUGGCAGUACUAAUAGGUCGAGGGCUUGACCAC
rnacentral:rRNA from 1 species